ACGGAAUAGAUACCCGGGUAGUCCCAGCUGUAAACGAUGCAGACUAGGUGUUUGGACGGCCACGUGCCGUUCUAGUGCCGCAGGGAAGCUGUUAAGUCUGCCGCCUGGGGAGUACGAUCGCAAGAUUGAAACUUAAAGGAAUUGGCGGGGGAGCACCACAAGGGGUGAAGCUUGCGGUUUAAUUGGAGUCAACGCCGGAAAUCUCACCGGGAGCGACAGCAGUAUGAAAGCCAGAUUGAAGGUCUUGCUAGACGAGCUGAGAGGAGGUGCAUGGCCGUCGCCAGUUCGUGCCGUGAGGUGUCCUGUUAAGUCAGGCAACGAUCGAGACCCGCGUCCUCUGUUGCAACCAGCUUUGUGCUGGGCACACUGAGGAGACCGCCACUGAUAAAGUGGAGGAAGGAGCGGGCCACGGCAGGUCAGUAUGCCCCGAAUCUCCCGGGCCACACGCGAGCUGCAAUGGCAAGUACAAUGGGUUCCGACCUCGAAAGGGGGAGGCAAUCUCGAAAGCUUGCCGUAGUUGGAAUUGA
rnacentral:rRNA from 1 species